rnacentral:rRNA from 1 species
UACGGAGGGUGCAAGCGUUAAUCGGAAUUACUGGGCGUAAAGCGCACGCAGGCGGUCUGUCAAGUCGGAUGUGAAAUCCCCGGGCUCAACCUGGGAACUGCAUUCGAAACUGGCAGGCUAGAGUCUUGUAGAGGGGGGUAGAAUUACCUCAGGUGUAGCGGUGAAAUGCGUAGAGAUCUGGAGGAAUACCGGUGGCGAAGGCGGCCCCCUGGACAAAGACUGACGCUCAGGUGCGAAAGCGUGGGGAGCAAACAGG